CAUGCUUUAUUACACGCACACAACACAAAAGUGCCUGGGCAAAGGUUUUGGUUGUGAGAGGGCUGAUGUGGUGGUAAGAUGAAGGGCAUGGCAUAAACUUUAGCCAAACAACUUCAUUAAACCAAAAACCCAAUAGCAGACAGACACACGAAUCGGGGAAAAUCUUGACGAAUAUCCUACGUUAAGUGGAGGCGAACCACAACACAAAAAGAUUAAAUAGUUUCAUGCCAGCUUUUGAAUGUGCAAUCACCAAAGAGCCGGAAAAGGGAUCCCAGCCAAAAACUAGAUACCCUCUUUCACCUAACUGAACUCCUCUCAUUUUCACUCAUCAUCUUUGGUUUUUCCUAUCAAAGGUUUUCGGUCUUAAGCUUUAUCCAUAAUUGUUUAGAUUUGUUUGUCUGCGGUUUUAGUUUAUGUUUUCUUUAAAUGCAUUAAGAGGGCCCAAACACAAACUUCACCUGCGACCUGCGAGGGCUUAUUAAAUUUCCUCAACGUCGACAAAUCCAAUUUAGCAAUCGAACGAAGCGCAGUAUCUUUUGCUCUGGUUGUUUAUUAUUUUAUUUAUUUAUUUUUUACAGCAGGAAAGUUUUUAAUAGUGGAACACACUUUGGCUUGGCUUGGCCACCACACACAAAAGUUUGCUGUGAGCCAUGGAAACAUCUUCCUGAGCCACUUAAGUGCAGAGCAAACAAACUUACACACAUACACCGCUCACCUCCCAUUCUAUCGCCAAAGAAAUGAAAGAUAUUGCUGUAAAAGUUGGCCGGGGGUUUUCGUUUACAGUUUCAGUUUACUUGCUCGCGCGACGGGUGUAGAAAAAGUUUUUAAUAAUAACCGCAAUACAAGAAUAUAAACAUUUAUAUUACUGCUUCAUAAUGCGGUCGGUUCUCGCUGAAGAAAAAAGCAGCGUGGGUGGAGGAUAACCAUCUGGCUGUGGGAAAUGGAUCCUGCCCGGAUCCUCAUGGCGUAUGAGCAAUGCGCUUCCAUCACAAAUUGCAGAACAAAAAACCAACAACCAGAAAAGGAGGACAACGAAAACAAUCAACAAUGCUCAAAAAGCUUCUUAACAGAGAUGUUCCAAUUAGGAGACCCAUUAUCCAACCAGAAAACGCAAACGAAACGGGGAAAAAAGCUGCGCUCAAAAUCAGAUGCCCCACACUGAGCCAAAUUCACAAAACACACACACACACAUAAAUCAUUACGCGCAGAAAAAGCAACAAAAAUAUGAAAGAGACGUAAAGAAGCAGGGGAAAACUGGGUGGGGAAAAAGUGGGGUACUGGAUGAGGAUAAGAUUUCACUGAGGAUGAGUAAGCUCCACAGACAACAUAAAAGAAUCGCAAGUAACAAGAACACCGCAUACACAGAAAAAAAGAGCGUCGAUGUACAAUAUAAAUUAGAAUUAUAGUAUACUAUACAUACAUAUACUUAUUUUAAUUUGUGAAUGACGUUCAAUCGAAAAUAUAAUAAUGUAAUGGCAAAUAAUCAAAAAAAUAUACAUAUGUAUCUUGCGACUUUGGUAAUUUAUAAUUACAAUUUUAAGUUUCACCGA